GAUGAAGAACGCAGCGAAAUGCGAUAAGUAAUGUGAAUUGCAGAAUUCAGUGAAUCAUCGAAUCUUUGAACGCAUCUUGCGCUCUGGGGCAUUCCCCAGAGCAUGCCUGUUUGAGUGUCGUGAGUCCAUCUCAACCCCCCUCCGCUCGGUGUUUUCCCGCCCUCUUAGGAGACGGGGAACAAAAAAAACCCUCGGGGAAGGGGGCUUGGAUCUUGAUCGGUGCCGGUCUCCGCCAAGGCUCGGUCGAAAUGCAAGAAGUGUGGUCGAUCCCGACCGCCUGCCGGCUCGGCGUGAUAAUUUCUCGUUGUCGCCGAUUACGGGUUAGGCGUUGAAAGACCCGCUAAGACAACCCCGUGUGUCGCUUCUUUUUGACCUCAAAUCAGGUAGGACUACCCGCUGAACUUAAGCAUAUCAAUAAGCGGAGGA
rnacentral:misc_RNA from 1 species